rnacentral:rRNA from 1 species
UUGGAGGGCAAGUCUGGUGCCAGCAGCCGCGGUAAUUCCAGCUCCAAUAGCGUAUAUUAAAGUUGUUGCAGUUAAAAAGCUUGUAGUUGAAUUUCGGGAUCAGCACGUCGGUCGUGCCUCAGGUAUGCACCGGCGUCGCUGGUUUCUCCCUUUUGACGAGCCGUGAUGCCAUUAAUUUGGUGUUGCGGGGAAUCAGGACUGUUACUUUGAAAAAAUUAGAGUGUUUAAAGCGGGCACUUGCUUGAAUACCUUAGCAUGGAAUAACGAAAUAGGACGUUCGAUCUUAUUUUGUUGGUUUCUAGGAUUGACGUAAUGAUUAAUAGGGAUAGUUGGGGGCAUUAGUAUUCAAUUGUCAGAGGUGAAAUUCUUGGAUUUAUUGAAGACUAACUACUGCGAAAGCAUUUGCCAAGGAUGUUUUCAUUAAUCAAGAACGAAAGUUAGGGGAUCGAAGACGAUCAGAUACCGUCGUAGUCUUAACCAUAAACUAUGCCGACUAGGGAUCGGAUGAUGUUAAUUUUUUAAUGACUCAUUCGGCGCCUUACGGGAAAC